UACGGAAGGCAGCAGUGGGGAAUAUUGCACAAUGGGCGCAAGCCUGAUGCAGCCAUGCCGCGUGUAUGAAGAAGGCCUUCGGGUUGUAAAGUACUUUCAGUCGUGAGGAAGGUGUUAAGGCUAAUAACCUUAGCAAUUGACGUUAGCGACAGAAGAAGCACCGGCUAACUCCGUGCCAGCAGCCGCGGUAAUACGGAGGGUGCGAGCGUUAAUCGGAAUUACUGGGCGUAAAGGGCACGCAGGCGGUUAAUUAAGUUGGAUGUGAAAUCCCCGGGCUUAACCUGGGAAUGGCAUUCAAGACUGGUUAGCUAGAGUCUUGUAGAGGGGGUUAGAAUUCCAUGUGUAGCGGUGAAAUGCGUAGAGAUGUGGAGGAAUACCGGUGGCGAAGGCGGCCCCUGGGACAAAGACUGACGCUCAUGUGCGAAAGCGUGGGGAGCAAACAGGGAUUAGAUACC
rnacentral:rRNA from 1 species